ACUCCGGGUGCCGGUUGAGGUUGCUGGUGGACCUGCUCUGGUGGUCUUGGAUGAGGCCCCAAUGAGCGCGGCGCCCCUGGUGGGCUACAGCAGCAGCGGCUCCGAGGAUGAGUCCGAGGACGGGAUGCGGCCCAGGCCGGGGGAUGGGAGCCACCGUCGUGGCCAGAGCCCCCUUCCCAGGCAGAGAUUUCCAGUACCUGACAGUGUGCUGAACAUGUUCCCGGGCACCGAGGAGGGGCCUGAAGAUGACAGCACAAAACACGGGGGACGGGUGCGCACCUUCCCGCACGAGCGCGGCAACUGGGCCACCCACGUUUAUGUACCAUAUUCUUCUUUACUGCCAACCAGGUAAAGAUUUACACCAAUCAAGAGAAAACCAGGACCUUUAUUGGGCUUGAGGUCACUUCAGGGCAUGCCCAGUUCCUGGACCUGGUUUCAGAGGUGGACAGAGUCAUGGAGGAAUUC
rnacentral:sRNA from 1 species